GUAGUCAACAUGCCCAAAGGACGUGGAUAACCUCGGGAAACUGAGGAUAAACCGCGAUAGGCCAAGGUUUCUGGAAUGAGCCAUGGCCGAAAUCUAUAUGGCCUUUGGAUUGGACUGCGGCCGAUCAGGCUGUUGGUGAGGUAAUGGCCCACCAAACCUGUAACCGGUACGGGCUUUGAGAGAAGGAGCCCGGAGAUGGGCACUGAGACAAGGGCCCAGGCCCUAUGGGGCGCAGCAGGCGCGAAACCUCUGCAAUAGGCGAAAGCUUGACAGGGUUACUCUGAGUGAUGCCCGCUAAGGGUAUCUUUUGGCACCUCUAAAAAUGGUGCAGAAUAAGGGGUGGGCAAGUCUGGUGUCAGCCGCCGCGGUAAUACCAGCACCCCGAGUUGUCGGGACGAUUAUUGGGCCUAAAGCAUCCGUAGCCUGAUCUGCAAGUCCUCCGUUAAAUCCACCUGCUCAACGGAUGGGCUGCGGAGGAUACCGCAGAGCUAGGAGGCGGGAGAGGCAAACGGUACUCAGUGGGUAGGGGUAAAAUCCAUUGAUCUACUGAAGACCACCAGUGGCGAAGGCGGUUUGCCAGAACGCGCUCGACGGUGAGGGAUGAAAGCUGGGGGAGCAAACCGGAUUAGAUACCCGGGUAGUCCCAGCUGUAAACGAUGCAGACUCGGUGAUGGGUUGGCUUCGAGCCAACCCAGUGCCGCAGGGAAGCCGUUAAGUCUGCCGCCUGGGGAGUACGGUCGCAAGACUGAAACUUAAAGGAAUUGGCGGGGG
rnacentral:rRNA from 1 species